rnacentral:rRNA from 1 species
UACGAAGGGGGCUAGCGUUGCUCGGAAUCACUGGGCGUAAAGCGCACGUAGGCGGAUCUUUAAGUCAGGGGUGAAAUCCUGGAGCUCAACUCCAGAACUGCCUUUGAUACUGGGGAUCUCGAGUCCGGAAGAGGUGAGUGGAACUCCGAGUGUAGAGGUGAAAUUCGUAGAUAUUCGGAAGAACACCGAUGGCGAAGGCAGUGGGCUGGGCCGGUACUGACGCUGAGGAGCGAAAGCGUGGGGAGCGAACAGG